CGGCCCACUCCGGAGGUCAGGGCCCCAUCCGGGGGUAGGAUUGCCCAAGCUUUGCCCAUCUCUCGCUGUGACCGCUCCCACUGCCAUGCCAGAUGUCUCCGGGAGACAGCCCUGCGGUCAGCGUCCAGGCCGGGGCAGGGCUGAUCUGCAGCCCUCCCCUCGGACAGGGAUUUCACACCCAGGAAAAUAAUUUCCUGGGACAGAUGCCGCGUAAAAAGGUGCAAACUCGGCGGGCCGGGCCCUCCCUGCAGGCCUGCAAUACGGGCCCCUCUGUGGAGAGCCGCCUUCAUCUUGCCAAGAGCUAAGCUUCCACCGCGCCUCCUCGCGUGCGGGCUGCGGUCCUCGAUGCCAGGGGCAGCCGGUUCCCUUCAGUCGGUGACUCCCGCGCUUGGUGGGGCUGCGAUGGGGGCCGGGGCAAGACCCCGAGGGCCUCUGGGCACUCCGUGAUGUCACCCAGACCUGGUGCCGUCGCUGACCUCCUGCAUUCAUUCAUUCAUCCAACAAGCUUUUACUGAUCUGACAGGGUCAGAUGGGGCUCCUGGUCCUGAAAAGACUUGGUAUGUAACUGCUUAGGGGUUCCACCUCUGCCACCCAUCCAUCUGUCCACCAUCGGUCUGUCUGUCCAUUUCACACUGGGCUCCCAGGUUGGCCAGGCGCCGAUAUAAAGAGAGGGGGCAGCAAGGCCCACCCACGUCCUGCAAAGACUGUGUGGAGCACUAAUCCGGGAUGAAAGGGAGUGUAGACCGGGAGCUCUUCCCCGUUCAGUACUCUUCACACACAUGCCAUGCAAGGUUUUAAUUAAAUUCACUAUACCAGGAAACUGCCUGGGCCCCUGGAGAUGCCAGAAGGAAGUGCCACGUUGGCCUUGCCCACUAGGUACCUGUCCAGAAGAAGAAGCCAUCAAGAAGCCCGGCGGAAUGCGGAGGGCAGUAGCGAUAAGCCACAAGGGGCAGGUAGAGGAGGGAGAGAUACCCUGGUCCCAGGGCCCAGCCCUUCAACGUAUGUUUGGAUGUGCAAGGAGGUUCGUUCAUGGCACAGAUGGGGAAAAGCCGUGGUAAGGCAUCUCGAGGACCACAGAGGUUAGUCAUGGAGUGUUCUGUGUCAGGGAGUGAGACGCAGGCUCUGAGGCCUGUGGGAUACUGGUAGGAGCAGAGGGGGUUGCAUUUGAAUUUGAGACCAUCUGAGAAAAGUCCAGAUGUGUAAGUGCUGUAUGUAUCAGUGACUGCCAGUGUAUAUAUAUCAGUGUGUAAACUAUGAAGCCUUGUCUUUGAUCUAGUUCAAUCCAAUCCAAUAAAUGACACGCUUUCUGUGUUGCUCUGGGCAAGAGACUGAGGGAGGUAA